CGUGGCUAACCUGCCCUUGGGACAGAGACACCCCCGGGAGACUGGGGCUAAUCCCUGAUAGGCGAAGAACUCUGGAAUGAGUCUUCACCCAAAAGACGCCUAGGCCACGCUUCUAGGCGCCGCCCAAGGAUGGGGCCGCGACCGAUCAGGUUGUUGGUGAGGUAACGGCCUACCAAGCCUUUUACCGGUACGGGCCGUGAGAGCGGGAGCCCGGAGAUGGGCACUGAGACAAGGGCCCAGGUCCUACGGGGCGCAGCAGUCGCGCAAACUUUGCAAUACACGAAAGUGUGACAGGGCUAUCCCGAGUGCCGUCCGCUGAGGGUGGCUUUUACCCAGUCUAGAAAGCUGGGAGAAUAAGGAGAGGGCAAGUCUGGUGUCAGCCGCCGCGGUAAUACCAGCUCUCCGAGUGGUGUGGAUGUUUAUUGGGCCUAAAGCAUCCGUAGCUUGCUGAUCAAGUCCCCUGUUAAACCCAACGAAUCAAUCGUUGGAUUGCGGGGGAUACUGCUCGGCUAUGGGACGGGAGAGGCCGACGGUAUUUUCGGGGUAGGGGUGAAAUCCUAUAAUCCCGAGAGGACCACCAGUGGCGAAGGCUGUCGGCUAGAACGCGCCCAACGGUGAGGGAUGAAAGCUGGGGGAGCGAACCGGAUUAGAUACCCGGGUAGUCCCAGCUGU
rnacentral:rRNA from 1 species